rnacentral:rRNA from 1 species
AAAAUCAUGCUUCAGUGGGAAACGAUGUGAGAAGGCAUAGACAGCCAGGAAGUUGGCUUAGAAGCAGCCAUCUUUUAAAGAAAGCGUAAUAGCUCACUGGUCGAGUCGGCCUGCGCGGAAGAUUCAACGGGGCUAAAGCAUGUACCGAAGCUGCGGAUGCAAGUUUAAGCUUGCAUGGUAGAGGAGCGUUCCGUAAGCCUGGGAAGGUGGAUUGAGAAGUCCGCUGGAGGUAUCGGAAGUGCGAAUGCUGACAUGAGUAACGAAAAAGGGGGUGAAAAACCCCCUCGCCGAAAGCCCAAGGUUUCCUGCGCAACGUUAAUCGGCGCAGGGUUAGUCGGUUCCUAAGGCGAGGCCGAGAGGCGUAGUCGAUGGCAAGCGGGUUAAUAUUCCCGCACCGCGUGCAGUUGCGAUGGGGGGACGGAGAAGGCUAGGUCAGCCGGGCGUUUGGUUGCCCCGGUUCAAGUAUGUAGACAGUCAACUUAGGCAAAUCCGGGUUGGCAAUGUUGAGAUAUGACAACGAGUUCCUGUAACGGGAGCGAAGUGAUUAAUGCCAUGCUUCCAAGAAAAGCCUCUAAGCUUCAGACUGCAUGUGACCGUACCCCAAACCGACACAGGUGGGCAAGGAGAGAAUCCUCAGGCGCUUGAGAAAACUCGGGUGAAGGAACUCGGCAAAAUAGCACCGUAACUUCGGGAGAAGGUGCGCCCUUGGUACGUGAAGGCCCUCGCGGCUGGAGCGGAAGGGGGUUGCAGUGACCAGGUGGCUGCGACUGUUUACUAAAAACACAGCACUCUGCAAACACGAAAGUGGACGUAUAGGGUGUGACGCCUGCCCGGUGCCGGAAGGUUAAUUGAUGGGGUCAGCCGCAAGGUGAAGCUCUUGAUCGAAGCCCCGGUAAACGGCGGCCGUAACUAUAACGGUCCUAAGGUAGCGAAAUUCCUUGUCGGGUAAGUUCCGACCCGCACGAAUGGCGUAACGAUGGCCACACUGUCUCCACCCGAGACUCAGUGAAAUUGAAAUCGCUGUUAAGAUGCAGUGUACCCGCAGCUAGACGGAAAGACCCCGUGAACCUUUACUAUAGCUUUGCACUGGACUUUGAACCUGACUGUGUAGGAUAGGUGGGAGGCAAUGAAAUCAGGGCGCUAGCUUUGGUGGAGCCAACGUUGAAAUACCACUCUGGCAUGUUCGAAGUUCUAACCUAGGCCCGUUAUCCGGGUCAGGGACAGUGUAUGGUGGGUAGUUUGACUGGGGCGGUCUCCUCCAAAAGAGUAACGGAGGAGCACGAAGGUACCCUCAGCGCGGUCGGAAAUCGCGCAUUGAGUGCAAAGGCAUAAGGGUGCUUGACUGCGAGACAGACAAGUCAAGCAGGGUCGAAAGACGGUCUUAGUGAUCCGGUGGUUCUGAAUGGAAGGGCCAUCGCUCAACGGAUAAAAGGUACUCCGGGGAUAACAGGCUGAUACCGCCCAAGAGUUCAUAUCGACGGCGGUGUUUGGCACCUCGAUGUCGGCUCAUCACAUCCUGGGGCUGUAGUCGGUCCCAAGGGUAUGGCUGUUCGCCAUUUAAAGUGGUACGCGAGCUGGGUUUAGAACGUCGUGAGACAGUUCGGUCCCUAUCUGCUGUGGGCGUUGGAGACUUGAGGGAAGCUGCUCUUAGUACGAGAGGACCGGAGUGGACGUACCUCUGGUGUUCCGGUUGUCACGCCAGUGGCAAUGCCGGGUAGCUAUGUACGGACAGGAUAACCGCUGAAAGCAUCUAAGCGGGAAGCCUCUCCCAAGAUUAGGUCUCCCGGGCUUUAAAAGCCCCUAAAGGUCCGUUAUAGACUAUGACGUUGAUAGGCUGGGUGUGGAAGCGCGGUAACGUGUGAAGCUAACCAGUACUAAUUGACCGUGUGGCUUGACCAUAUAACACCUAAG